rnacentral:lncRNA from 1 species
GAGCCAUACGCAUUAAAUGUGGAGUAAGCCGGAGAUCCGCAUUAAUUGCAGAGUAGGCCGGAGAUCCGCAUUAAUUGCAGAGUAGGCCGGAGAUCCGCAUUAAUUGUUGAGUGAACUGGAGGUUUACAGUAGCCAUGCGCAAUAAAUGCUGAAGCAGCGGCAGGAUAUGGUCCUCGGUUGGACCUCGGAGGAGUACGGCCGUAGUAGGUGGCUGACAAGGGUAGACCUUGAGCAUCAGGAUUUUCCUAGG